UCAAGUACCGGUUCUUGUACGAUCACUGAAGUUAAGAAACGUUGAGCCUGAUCAGAACCUAGAUAGGUGACCGCUUGGGAAUACCAGGUGCUGGA